CACUGCGAAGCUAAGAGCGUUAACCUUUUAAGUUAAAGUUAGAGAUUCCCAAUUCUCCACAGUGAC
rnacentral:tRNA from 1 species